CACUACUCUCUGCAGAGCCUUCUUGUCCUGGGCAGAGCAAUUUCCAAACCAGAUGGUAAUAUUUCCGGACAAGAUGCUUUCCACAGCCGCUGCGUAGAAGCACUGGAGGAUGGCAAUGUGGUCAGAGAGGAUGCAGAAAGGCUUUGGGGAUGUGGAAAACUUGGCAUGGCUCAUGGCAGAUGCAAUAUAGUGUGGAAAAUGUAAAGCCAUCUGUUUUGAUUGAAAAGAUAAAAGGUGAAGUAUUCUUCAAAUGGUGAGAUAUUGAUAAAUGUUGUUAAAAGACACUUUUAGCAGCGAGCAACUAGAUAGGCAUUGGAAAGUUGGCUAUGAUUGCAUGAGGUUGUGAGUACGAAUAGAGAUGUACUGUACCAGGGUCCUGAUGAAAUUAUAUCUGGAAUAGCGCCUAUGUGUCCGGUCCUAGUGAAGGAUAAACAUGUGACAGAAGGAGGUGUAGCAAACGUUUGCAUCCUAUUUUGGGGUGGCAACGAUAAAACAUUCUGUCUAGGAUGUCCACAACUAGUUGUUACAUUUUCAAAAUAAGAGUUCAGGACAGAUGAGAAUACAUUUUUACAGAGGGUACUGAUUUUUUGGAAUUCUCUACUCGAGAGUUGUGAAGGCUCAGUUGUUGAGUAUAUUCCAAACAUCAAUAGAUUUAUGCAGGUUUUGUUUCAUUAUUGUCACGUCGCAAGGUACAGUGAAAAGCUUUGUUUUGCAUGCUAUCCAAACAGAUAUGCCAUAAAUAGAUACAAUCAGUUCCAACUCAAGUACAUUAGAUAGAGCAGAGGGGAAGAUUGGUUAUAAUUUGCAGCAUUGUAGUGUCGUCCGUUCCUUAGGCAAAGUCCAAUGUCUUUAAUGGGGUUGAGGUGUAUUGAACAGUACCCCAGCUGAUGGAAGGACCAUUCAGUGCCUAAUAACGGAGGGGAGAAGCUGUUCCCGAGUCUAGCGGUGAGUGUUUUACCAAGCGAAUCAAGGAAUGUGCAGAUAGUGUAAGAAAGUAGUGUUAGGUUAAAAGAUCAACCACAAUCUAAACCACAAAUUUAUAUCUUAUGAAGAUGCAGCUACCCGGAGUAAUUUGUCUGCAUUUCCUGCCUAAUUUAUUUUCAUGAGAUAGACCUUCUAUCCUAGGUACCAAUCGUCACUGUGCUCUAUUUAUACAUAUCAAUCUCCAUGAUCGACACAAUCUCUGAUUGACACAAUUAACUGCAGUUGUUGGAAUUUUGAGCAAAACACAAAGUAUAGUUUGAGUAGGAUGUCCAUGUUAACUCUGUUGUUGCUAUUGUUUUCUAAUAGUCCUAAUUUAACACUAAUCCUAAAGAGAUUCCAGUCAGUAUUCCAGAACUGUAUUUUGUUCCAGAUGAAUUAAGCAUAAUUCACAGAAUACAACAAGGAUACUUUGUUGCAUCAAUUUGCGGGAAUAUUGAUCAAUUCAGGAUUUGAGGCUAGGAGAGUGUACGAGGCAAACUAAAUAUUUCCCCCCGUAAUUUAUUUUCUCUUAUGUUUUCAAUGAUGUACUUUGCUGUGAAAUGUUUGUGGUUUAAGAAAUUCACUGAACUUUUCUGAACAAUUGUAUAUAAUGGAAUGAAAUUAGGAAAUGGAAGAUUACACAGGUCCAUAAUGCAUGUUUGUAAAAUAAACCUCAAAUGAAUGCAAUUACAGGUUACUUUGUUAAUAAUUAAACUGUGAAUAAAAGACAAAUUCUGAAAUAAAUUACUGCAAGUGCUG